CUUUUACCCGGCGUUUCUCUCAUGCCAAUAGGGUAUGAGGCAUUGGAAAGAAGGGACGGCUCUCCGAGACUACCGUUUGCUGUGGGAACACAAUAACGUUCUUGAAGAGGUUCAUUUCGAUAACGACCAGUUUCGACUCUGAGAAGAAGGAUUCCACAUCUAAAUUGUGCCAUCAAAGACCGUUCCUGUAUGGUUAUGUUCAUCGUUACGUAGGAUACUAAUAUAGUUACGACGUUCUGGCACUACAAAAGUAUUGAGACAAGGUACUGAUUGUACUGGCACUACAAAAGUACUAAGAGAGUUACCACAUGUCUACUUUGUUAGGAUCGUUCACAAAACAAAGGUGUGAAGUAAAAUCUCGUUACCCAGGAAAGUCUCAACUAUAAAUAUUGUGAUUUAAUUCCAAUGUAUCAAUUAUUGUUACAGAUAUAGGUGUUGAUUAGUGGGAAAAGAUCUGUGCAUUCAAAUACAUGUAGUGGAUUGGUAAGAAGUCUUUAAAAGUACAGUCAAAGUUUUUAGAAGCAUUCAUAUAGACAUUUUUUACAAGCCCUUGUUAUAUUUAUCUAUUUCAGCAUAUGUAUCAUUAUAUUAAUC
rnacentral:sRNA from 1 species